GUGAAUUAAACAUGCUUGGUGUCUUCGCUUCGGCAAGGCCCUUGCUUAAAUCACAUCCUAACACCUGUGAACCGUAAGACGUAUGAUGAGGUCUUUGGCCAAGUCAUCGUCUGCCCAUUUUUAACAAACAAUUAAUGUAACAAACGUAGUCUUAUUAUAACCUAAUA
rnacentral:misc_RNA from 1 species